rnacentral:rRNA from 1 species
AACGAACUACAUCGGGACGCUUUGGCCGCCGAGCGAAAAAAAAACACCAUUGAGCUCGACCUCAGAUCAGGUAGGAGUACCCGCUGAACUUAAGCAUAUCAAUAAGCGGAGGAAAAGAAACCAACAGGAUUGCCCCAGUAGCGGCGAGUGAAGCGGCAAGAGCUCAGAUUUGAAAUCGUGCUAAUUUUUUUGGCACGAGUUGUAGAGUGUAGGCGGGAGUCUUUGUGGAGCACGGUGUCCAAGUCCCUUGGAACAGGGCGCCUGAGAGGGUGAGAGCCCCGUGGGGUGCCGUGCGAAGCUCUGAGGCCCUGCUGACGAGUCGAGUUGUUUGGGAAUGCAGCUCCAAGUGGGUGGUAAAUUCCAUCUAAGGCUAAAUACUGGCGAGAGACCGAUAGCGAACAAGUACUGUGAAGGAAAGAUGAAAAGCACUUUGAAAAGAGAGUGAAACAGCACGUGAAAUUGUUGAAAGGGAAGGGUAUUGGGCCCGACAUGGGGAGUGCGCACCGCUGUCUCUUGUAGGCGGCGCUCUGGGCGCUCUCUGGGCCAGCAUCGGUUCUUGCUGCGGGAGAAUGGGUGCCGGAAAGUGGCUCUUCGGAGUGUUAUAGCCGGCGCCAGAUACCGCGUGCGGGGACCGAGGACUGCGGCUUCUGUCUCGGAUGCUGGCACAACGGCGCAAUACCGCCCGUCUUGAAACAUGGACCAAGGAGUCUACGUCUAUGCGAGUGUUUGGGUGUAAAACCCCGUACGCGUAAUGAAAGUGAACGUAGGUCGGACCCCU